AGUGAACGCUGGCGGUAGGCCUAACACAUGCAAGUCGAACGGCAGCACAGUAAGAGCUUGCUCUUACGGGUGGCGAGUGGCGGACGGGUGAGGAAUACAUCGGAAUCUACUUUUUCGUGGGGGAUAACGUAGGGAAACUUACGCUAAUACCGCAUAUGACCUACGGGUGAAAGCAGGGGAUCUUCGGACCUUUCGCGAUUGAAUGAGCCGAUGUCGGAUUAGCUAGUUGGCGGGGUAAAGGCCCACCAAGGCGACGAUCCGUAGCUGGUCUGAGAGGAUGAUCAGCCACACUGGAACUGAGACACGGUCCAGACUCCUACGGGAGGCAGCAGUGGGGAAUAUUGGACAAUGGGCGCAAGCCUGAUCCAGCCAUACCGCGUGGGUGAAGAAGGCGUUCGGGUUGUAAAGCCCUUUUGUUGGGAAAGAAAAGCAGCAGGUUAAUACCCCGCUGUUCUGACGGUACCCAAAGAAUAAGCACCGGCUAACUUCGUG
rnacentral:rRNA from 1 species